UGUUCGGAAUUAUUGGGCGUAAAGGGCGCGUAGGCGGUGCGGUAAGUCUGAUGUGAAAUCUCCGGGCUCAACUCGGAGUCUGCAUCAGAAACUGCCGUGCUCGAGUGUGGGAGAGGUGAGUGGAAUUCCGAGUGUAGAGGUGAAAUUCGUAGAUAUUCGGAAGAACACCAGUGGCGAAGGCGACUUACUGGACACAUAUUGACGCUGAGGUGCGAAAGCGUGGGGAGCAAACAGG
rnacentral:rRNA from 1 species